rnacentral:misc_RNA from 1 species
GAUGAAGAACACAGCGAAAUGCGAUAAGUAAUGUGAAUUGCAGAAUUCAGUGAAUCAUCGAAUCUUUGAACGCACAUUGCGCCCGCCAGUAUUCUGGCGGGCAUGCCUGUUCGAGCGUCAUUUCAACCAUCAAGCCCCAGGCUUGUGUUGGGGACCUGCGGCUGCCGCAGGCCCUGAAAACCAGUGGCGGGCUCGCUGUCACACCGGGCGUAGUAGAUUUUAUCUCGCUCAGGGCGUGCUGCGGGUUCCGGCCGUUAAAAAGCCUUUUUUACCCAAGGUUGACCUCGGAUCAGGUAGGAAGACCCGCUGAACUUAAGCAUAUCAAUAAGCGGAGG